GCCAGCAGCUAUAUCACCCUGCAGCUCUCAGCUGGCUUCCCACUGAAGCUAAGCAGGUCUGAGCCUGGUCAGUACCUGGAUGGAGACUUCCAGGGAAACUAUGGUUGCUCCUGGAA
rnacentral:rRNA from 1 species